rfam:Planomicrobium glaciei strain CGMCC 1.6846 genome assembly, contig: Ga0070170_103
AUCACCUUUUAAUGAAUGUCCAGAGAGGCAUGGAAAGGGUCGAAGCAAGGGCGAACCAUGCCUUUAUUUCCUCACACCUUCCUGCUCUCAGGAAGGUGUUUUUUAAU